UUUGUAUUGAAAAGGCAAAAAGAAAAAAAAAAGCAUUAAAAUUACCAUUGCCAUGUUGCCCUCUGGGUUUACACAAAUGCGGUGCAGGGAAGAAUUAGGCUUUUGCAGUUUCAUGUUUCCUUGACCUUUUGAGAGAAGAAUGAAAAAUCUGAUCCAACUGCUACUCCCUGUUACAAUGCUGAAAGAGCAGUGCAAACUUAAUUUGCUGACUCCCGAGGAGCAGAAUUUCAACUUGCCUAUUGAAAAACCUGGGAGAGAGCUGAGGUCUGUAGAGAUCUGAAUAAAGCUGGAUAAUCUGGAUGCCAAACCUCUCUCCCAGAUGAUAGGAAAGUUUUCUUCCAAAGAUGAGCAAAACAAGGAGCACACUCUGAACAAAGAUCCUCCCAUUCCAUGAAGCUUUGGCAGCUAUAAAACAUCACAGAGCAGCAGCUUCCCAGGGAUGCUUUGGGACUGAGCAACCUCUGGGUUCCCCAGCGGUGCUGAAGAACUCCAACAUUUCUCCGUUUUGAAUAGAGCUGGCAAAAUCCAUAAUUGCUUCCAUUCUGCUUGGCUGGAAAAUAGCAAAAGCCAGGCAUGCUGCCACGGGACUGCUGGGUGCAGAGUGGGUAUGACAGAGGGCUCUGCACCAAGGCUUACCCAACAGAAGUGAAGGCAUCCCACAGCUCAGCCUGGCUUUCAUGAAUCUUUUAAUAUACAUAUAUAUUUUCCUUUUGUGCGUGUAUUUUUUUCCUUCCCUCGAGUGGAGCAGCACCAGUGAGGUGAUGACUUACCUACUGCAGCCUGGGAGAUAGCAAUCUGGAAGGGAUGGUCAUCACACAAUGCCCGAGCAGAGCUUUUCUGGCCCAAAUUUCUCUGAUUACGUUGUUACCUGGUCGGUGAAGAGAACCGUGAAAAACACAAUUACCAGGAAGCCCUGCUCCUUUCCUUGUCUCUUUGUCUCACUGCAGAUUGGGCAUGUGACUCACAGGGAAAUAGAAGAGCUGCCAUUUUCAUUUGUUUGACCCAAAGGGGUGCUGCGUGCCAGUCACACCUAACUGUGGGAAAGCUCAGCCACUGGCUGACAAACCUGAUCACAUCGUGUUUGUAGCUGGCAUUUAGAUGCAUCUGAUGGACCAGAGCAUGGCAUGAAGAACAGGAAAACCUCCGUCCUGCAGACAGCACAGGGAAGGGAGGAUAAAGGUUUGAAUGAGCUUGGUGUGGCGGGACAGAAAUUUUUUUGGCCACUGAUGUAGCAUCAGACUAAAGGGAAAGGGCACAAGCAGGCUUUAACUGUGGGUGUUGGUGACAGACUUGCUCAGUGCAAGCCCAUGUGUGCAUUCUGGGCUGCACAGGAAGACUUGGCUGUGUCCUCAUGGGAUGCACGGCAGGGAAGGAGAACCUCCCCAGUGGACCAAAGGACUGUGUCCUGAGUGAACUGGAUGACAGCUUCCCUGAAGUUAUGGACUGAAGGAGAACUUUUCCAAUUGACUGAGGGAAAACCUCCCCUACUGACUGCCACCCCAAAGCCCUAGCUGAAGACUACAAUGACAAAUGCCUACGAGUGACCAACAUUUGCAUUAUGAAUUGCAAUCAAAAAGAACUGGCUCCAAGUCAGCACAGAUUCCCAGCUGAUUUGAUGGGUAAGCACGCUUCAAUGGGAUGGUUAAAAUGUAUUGUUUGCCUAUUGCACGCUGCAAAAAUAAAUAGCCAAAGCAGGAGAGAACAGACUUUGGCAAGCAAACUGACAACAAGCCAUGCUCUUGAGGAAGGCUCAUGAUUUGGAGGGAACAUUGAGCUGGAAGAGAACAGUGAAUAUAAAUAAGAAUAAAGUUUACCUUCAGCAGCACGAAUGGCAGGGCUGUGAGCCACGUCUCAGACUUUAUCAUUCUUCUGCUGAGGGAAAAGUUUGAAACAUAUUUGCUGUUUUACACUCUGUUGUAUUCUCAUUGUAGGAAGAUAUCAGCCACUGCAGAAAGGUCUUUCAAUAUUUAAGCAUUUUUUGGCCAUCUCUAGUUUGUCAGUUUAUGAGUGACGAGGGAGGACAUCAGGUCCAGCAGAUGAAGGGAAAUCCCACCGUUAGGUCUUGGUGGCUGUCAAACUUUAAGAAGUUUCCCUGCCUCUAGAACAUAAAUAUUCCUGAUUUCUCUGUGCUGAGGGUAUAAUAGUAGGUAAAUGGUACAUGAUACAGCUCUGAUGUGCUGUUUGUGUAACUGUUGGACUUAUAAACUGAAAUGUAUUAGAUCUAUUAUACGAGCAACAUCAUCCAGAAAAUAGAAUACAAUCAUAGAAUCGUAGAAUUAUUAAGGUUGGAAAAGACCUCUAAGAUCAUCUCGUCCAACUAUCCACCUAACACCAAAAUUUCCCACUAACCCAUGUUCCUCAGUGCCACAUCCACACAGCUCUCAAACACCUCCAGGGGCAGUGAGUCCACCACCUCCCUGGGCAGCCUGUGCCACUGCCUCACUGCCCUUUCUGAGAAGAAAUUUCUCCUAAUAUCCAACCUGAACCUCCCCUGGUACAACUUGAGGCCAUUCACUCUCAUCCAUUGCUGUAACCUGGGAGCAGAGGCUGAUCCCCACCUUGCCACAACCUCCUUUUAGGCUGUUGUAGAGAUUUAUAAGGUCUCUACAUCCCUACGUCUCCUC
rnacentral:lncRNA from 1 species